UAAGGAAUCUUCCACAAUGGGCGAAAGCCUGAUGGAGCGACACCGCGUGCAGGAUGACACCUUUCGGGGCGUAAACUGCUUUUCUGAGUGAAGAAAUUUUGACGUUAACUCAGGAAUAAGCACCGGCUAACUACGUGCCAGCAGCCGCGGUAAUACGUAGGGUGCGAGCGUUAUCCGGAAUUACUGGGCGUAAAGCGUCCGCAGCCGGACAUUCAAGUCUGAUGUUAAAUCCCGCAGCUCAACUGCGGAAUCGUAUUGGAAACUGGAUGUCUAGAGUAAUGCAGAGGUGCGUGGAAUUUAUAGUGUAGGGGUAAAAUCCGUUGAUACUAUAAGGAACACCAAAAGCGAAGGCAGCGUACUGGGCAUUUACUGACGGUCAGGGACGAAAGCGUGGGGAGCGAAAAGG
rnacentral:rRNA from 1 species